CGGGGAUGGAUGGGGUGUUAAGAUAGGGUUUCACUAUGAAGCUCUGGCUGUCCUGGAACUCAAAGAGAUUUGCCAACCUGCCUCCUGAGUGCUGCCAUCAAAGAUGUGCACCGUCAUGCCUAGCUCAUUGGCGGGAAUAAGAACAGAGACAAUGAAACAAGGAUGAACUGCACCUUAUCCAACAAAAUGGAGCUUUGCUUCAAUCUGAAAAUAAUAUCCAACGUACAUGUCCUGCCACUGAAAUUUUAAAGCACGGAUAAUGUUAUUGUCUAUUUUUACCUCUUCCUCCAGGUUUGUGCUGACAAAAGCCACAACAAACCAAAAAAACACAAACAAUAAGCAUUUCCUGCUGGUGGUCACAGAGAAGGGAGGGGGAGCAUGAAUAACGCAGCAUUUCUACAGGGCUUUCCAUGAGCCCAUUCCCGGCUGCCUUCCAGGAGAACCACGCCUUCCCGCACAUCCACUUACGGCGUUCCACAGGAAGCCCCUCUGUGUCAUUGCCAUCCAGGAGCGGUUCACUUGGCCACACGUGAUCGUGUCUCUAAAGCUGAGAGAACACUGCGGAAGAGGAGGCGGGAAGAGCGUGAGAGCCGGGAGAGCCGGAGGACAGGAAGGGCUGUGGAAUAGCUCCGUCUGGGCACAGUCCACAGCAGCGGCAGACGCCUGUGAAGAGCGUAAGAGCCGGAGGACGGGAAGGCCCGUGGAAUAGGCAUCUCAGGCAGGCUGACGUCAUCCCGAGAACAGAGGACCAUCAAAUAAAUAGGUCAACAGACCAUGUCUGUGAACCAGAAGUCACAAUAAUAACGUAAAAGGAACUACAUCAAAACACUAUAUAAACACUAAAUACGUGCAAUCUUAGAGACCUGGACAAGACAACCUCACCAAGUACCCAAGGAACAGACGUUACGAACAGUAACAAUACCAAGAUGCCAAUUCUAUCUGAAGUCUACAGAUUCAAUGAAUUCUGUCAAAUUUCCAAAGGCUCCUUUUACAGAAAUGGAAGCCAGUUCUCAAAUUCACAUGAAAUUGCAACAAGUCUCAAACAGCCAAAACAACUUCUAACUGACUUCAAACUGAAAACAAAGCGGCGACAAUCAAAAUAUGAAUAACAUACAGAUCAAUGAGUUGGGAUGGGGAGUUCAGAAAUGCAUUUACAUAAACGCUAGUUUAUAUUCAACAGGAAGUCAAACCGUUCAGCGGAGAAAGAAUGGUUUCUCAAUAGACAGUGCUGAGACAACUGGGCUCCCAGAUAUAAAGAAUGGAUACAGGACACUUCUAUGCCUUACUCCAUAUAAAAAAAAACUUUACCCAAAAUGAGCCAAUGACCUAAAUAUAGGAACUAAAACUAAAAACUCCCUAGGAAAAAACAUAAAGGUAAAUCUUAUGAUAUCAAAAUCACAAACAAUACAGGAAAAGAUAACUCAGAUUUCAUCAAAAUGUAAAACUUCCACACAUUAAAGAACCCUGCAAAGGGGUGAACGGUCA